rnacentral:rRNA from 1 species
AUUGAACGCUGGCGGCAGGCUUAACACAUGCAAGUCGAACGAGUGGCGGACGGGUGCGUAAUGCUUGGGACUCUCGCUUAUGGAGGGGGAUAACUACGGGAACCUGUAGCUAAUACCGCGUACCAUAGGAUGAGCCCAUGUGGGAUUAGGUAGUUGGUGGGGUAAAGGCUCACCAGGCCGACGAUCUGUAGCUGGUCUGCGAGGAUGACCGGCCACACGGGGACUGAGACACGGCCCUGACGCCUACGGGAGGAAGCAGGGGGGAAUAGUGCGAAAUGGGGGAAACCUGACGCAGCGAUGCAGCGUGAAUGAAGAAGGCCUUCGGGUUGUAAAGUUCUUUCGGUAGCGAGGCGUUAACUACAGAAGAAGCACCGGCUAACUCCGUGCCAGCAGCCGCGGUAAUAC